CAACCCUCAAGCCCCCGGGCUUGGUGUUGGGGAUCGGCACAAGGCGCCGGCACCUUCGGGAGCCGGGGCCCGCCGUCCCUCAAAUUCAGUGGCGGUCGCGCCGCGAGUGCCCUAUGCGUAGUAGAUAACACCUCGCACUGGAACUCCUCCGUGACCACGCCGUAAAACCCCCGACUUUUUUCU
rnacentral:misc_RNA from 1 species